UGAGUUUUUCAUUCUACCGUUAUAGAUAAACACAAUUAUAUCGUUAUACACCUUCGACAAUUAAUCAGAAAUCUACACAUUCAUAUAUUUCUAAGUUCUUAAACCAAACCUACAGUUAAUUUUCGUGAAUACAAUAUAUCAUUUAGGAAUAUUAAAACAAUUUUUUAAACGUUAGGAAAUAUUCUAGGCUUACCUAAAUAUUACGACGAAAUAUAUCUAACCAAAUCUACUUUUACUUCAGUAAAGAUUUUAAGAUCGGAUCUCUAACCUAACUUUCAAACACUACAAACGACCAUUUCUGAAUUAAAUCAUAAUUAGAUUCUUCAAGUAGAUUAUGUUGCAAA